GUCCUGAAUGAAACCAAACCCUUCAUCGGGACCCUCAGGAGCCAGGCCAGCCUCACCCCUGGCUCUGCCAUCUGGGUCCUCCCUUUCCAGAAGCACUGGCUUCUUCUCUGUUCCUGUUUCCAUAUGGAGUCGCCAUGAAUACUUGCUGGCAGAAAAUGGCUUCGGGCACUGAGCCACUGCCCACUUGGUGACUGAUGUCAUCGUUGCCGAUGUCACUGAUCAUCAUUCCACCAAACCCACAGAGCAGCUUGGUGCCACAGGUGUCCUUGCCCUACAGAGCAACGUGAGAAUUAUAUGGGAGGAAUGUCCGGCUCCGGCUGCCAGAGAUGUCUGCUUUCCUCCUCACAUUUCUGGAACUGUGCAUCUCAGCUCUCAG